GUUGAAUCUAAAACGUGGUCAAAUGAUGUUUGUGAAGCUUUGGUGGCAUUUUAGAAGAUGUCAUUUCAAUAAAAAUACGAAAUGCGUGAAAACUUUCUUGGACUUUGUUCAGCUCCAGUGUAAGUCUGGAGUUUCAGGCAAAAUUGGCAAAACUUUCUGGGUGUUUUGAUUCUGUGUCAUUCAGUCUCUUUGUUCAGUCAUCUCUGGAUGAGACACUAAACAUUUUUCUCAGCACUCUGUGUAUGCCGCCAUGCAUCCGACAAACGCGGAGAGAAUAAACCAGUGUGUCGGGAGAGCUGGGGAUGGGAAGAGUGGAACCCGGUGGAGUGUUUGGGGCCAGACGGACGGUCUGACAGCCUGGAGCCUCAGGAGUGCCGGGAAAUCACGUCACCUCCUGUAAAUUCUCCUCAGUAGAAAUGGAAGUCUACAUGACCUGCCUCGCUUCCUUGUUGAUUAGUCCACCACUUAUUGAGCAUCUCCAGUGAGGCAUUCCUCGAGCUAUGGAAAGAAAUUUUGAGACGAUGACAAAGACAGGGUCGCCCUGCGGACCCAGCAAUUCCACCGCAGAGGGAUUCUCUCCAAGGCGCACAGUGAGCACGUUCAAGGACGGUUAGAAAGAGAAGUGUCCCUCCCCAGUAGGAAUGCGUCCAUCCAAUGGGGACCCUCACUCGGGGGACUUUCCUACAGUCGUAGAAAUGGGAGCAAUGUGGACCUGGUGUCCUUCGACCAGACUGGAUGCGUCUCAAAGGCGUGGGCAGAGGAACAGCAACUGGAGAAGGACCUGUGCAGAGCAGUGCCAUUCAUGGAAGGUUUAAAAUCACGCAGCACAGUUCUGUAUGUCGUUGGUGGACACAUCCCGUGUUGUGAGCAUGGAAGUGUGCGGCGGGUGAUGAACACUCAAGACCCACAUGGAAGUGGCAAACACAGGACGGAGAGGCGCUGUAUAUCCUUCACUCAGCUUCCCGCAAUAAAAGCGUCUUACAUUUGUAUAAUCACAGCCGCUGGUCGCUGAGGACGGGACACGUUCCGAGAAACGCCUCGUUAGGCGAUCCUGUCGUUGUGCGAACACCAUAGCAGAUCUGAUGCCCUUUGCUGAAAAUGAGAGAUGAGAGAAGAGGCAUUGGGGUUAGCCGACUCCCUGUAGCCAAUAAAACCUUUCUAGCAUCUCCUACCUGUGAUGGACCAUGGACGAGUCCUUCCUCCAUCAGGCAGAGGAGAUCCAGGCCCAGUGAAAAUGUUCUGAUUUCUUCUAAAUUCAGAAGAAAAGAGAUAACUCUAUGCAACCUGGAGUAUGUGUCAUUAUACCAG
rnacentral:lncRNA from 1 species